GAUGAACGCUGGCGGCGUGCCUAAUACAUGCAAGUCGAGCGAACAGACGAGGAGCUUGCUCCUCUGACGUUAGCGGCGGACGGGUGAGUAACACGUGGAUAACCUACCUAUAAGACUGGGAUAACUUCGGGAAACCGGAGCUAAUACCGGAUAAUAUAUUGAACCGCAUGGUUCAAUAGUGAAAGACGGUUUUGCUGUCACUUAUAGAUGGAUCCGCGCCGCAUUAGCUAGUUGGUAAGGUAACGGCUUACCAAGGCAACGAUGCGUAGCCGACCUGAGAGGGUGAUCGGCCACACUGGAACUGAGACACGGUCCAGACUCCUACGGGAGGCAGCAGUAGGGAAUCAUCCGCAAAGGGCGAAAGCCUGACGGAGCAACGCCGCGUGAGUGAUGAAGGUCUUCGGAUCGUAAAACUCUGUUAUUAGGGAAGAACAAAUGUGUAAGUAACUAUGCACGUCUUGACGGUACCUAAUCAGAAAGCCACGGCUAACUACGUG
rnacentral:rRNA from 1 species